rnacentral:rRNA from 1 species
UGGGUAACCUGCCUCAAAGAGGGGAAUAGCCUCCCGAAAGGGAGAUUAAUACCGCAUAAUAUGUUUAAGUCGCAUGACUUUAACAUCAAAGGAUUUUCUUUUAAGAAAUUCCACUUUGAGAUGGACCCGCGGCGCAUUAGCUAGUUGGUGAGGUAACGGCUCACCAAGGCAACGAUGCGUAGCCGACCUGAGAGGGUGAUCGGCCACAUUGGAACUGAGACACGGUCCAGACUCCGUAGGG